GGGUGUUUAGUCACUUGGGGAUUUCAUUCGUCCGCCCGCCGGAUAAAUUACGUCUUUUAAGACCGGGAAUCUAUUUUACUCAGGUUUGAAUUUACAGGACUGAGUAUGGAAAUGAAUGUCCUGCAAGCUGUUCAGCAGAAAGUGCCAGUGCUUGUGCCACUGUUCCCCAGCCUUCUACCAGCAGGGAGAAAAAUAAAUCGAGAAAGCUAUUUAAGAGGAAGAGGCCAACUCUGAAGGAGUACAUUAAGAUUACCAUGGAGUCAACUAUGCAAACUUUUAAGGAAUUUGAGAAGGAAAUUGAGCAAGAAAAUAAAAAAUACAGGGAGG